rnacentral:rRNA from 1 species
GACGAACGCUGGCGGCGUGCUUAACACAUGCAAGUCGAGCGAUGAAGUUCUUUCGGGAAUGGAUUAGCGGCGGACGGGUGAGUAACACGUGGGUAACCUGCCUCAUAGAGGGGAAUAGCCUUCCGAAAGGAAGAUUAAUACCGCAUAAGAUUGUAGUUUCGCAUGAAACAGCAAUUAAAGGAGCAAUCCGCUAUGAGAUGGACCCGCGUCGCAUGAGCUAGUUGGUGAGGUAACGGCGCACCAGGGCGACGAUGCGUAGCCGACCUGAGAGGGUGAUCGGCCACAUUGGGACUGAGACACGGCCCAGACUCCUACGGGAGGCAGCAGUGGGGAAUAUUGCACAAUGGGGGAAACCCUGAUGCAGCAACGCCGCGUGAGUGAUGACGGUCUUCGGAUUGUAAAACUCUGUCUUCAGGGACGAUGAUGACGGUACCUGAGGAGGAAGCCACGGCUAACUACGUGCCAGCCGCCGCCGUAA